rnacentral:rRNA from 1 species
UGAUCCUGGCUCAGGAUGAACGCUAGCGGCAGGCUUAACACAUGCAAGUCGAGGGGUAACAUUGUAGCUUGCUACAGAUGACGACCGGCGCACGGGUGCGUAACGCGUAUAGAACUUACCUUUUACAGAGGGAUAGCCUUUAGAAAUGAAGAUCAAUACCUCAUAGUAUUAUUGAUUGGCAUCAAUUAAUAAUUAAAGAUUUAUCGGUAAAAGAUGGCUAUGCGUCCUAUUAGCUAGAUGGUAAGGUAAUGGCUUACCAUGGCUACGAUAGGUAGGGGCCCUGAGAGGGGGAUCCCCCACACUGGUACUGAGACACGGACCAGACUCCUACGGGAGGCAGCAGUGAGGAAUAUUGGGCAAUGGAGGUAACUCUGACCCAGCCAUGCCGCGUGCAGGAAGACUGCCCUAUGGGUUGUAAACUGCUUUUAUACAGGAAGAAACACUCGUACGUGUACGAGCUUGACGGUACUGUAAGAAUAAGGACCGGCUAACUCCGUGCCAGCAGCCGCGGUAAUACGGAGGGUCCGAGCGUUAUCCGGAAUCAUUGGGUUUAAAGGGUCCGCAGGCGGUCAAUUAAGUCAGAGGUGAAAUCCCAUAGCUUAACUAUGGAACUGCCUUUGAUACUGGUUGACUUGAGUCAUAUGGAAGUAGAUAGAAUGUGUAGUGUAGCGGUGAAAUGCAUAGAUAUUACACAGAAUACCGAUUGCGAAGGCAGUCUACUACGUAUGUACUGACGCUCAUGGACGAAAGCGUGGGGAGCGAACAGGAUUAGAUACCCUGGUAGU